rnacentral:rRNA from 1 species
AGCGAACGCUGGCGGCAGGCUUAACACAUGCAAGUCGAACGGGCAUCUUCGGAUGUCAGCGGCAGACGGGUGAGUAACACGUGGGAACGUACCCUUCGGUUCGGAACAACUCUGGGAAACUGGAGCUAAUACCGGAUACGCCCUUAUGGGGAAAGGUUUACUGCCGAAGGAUCGGCCCGCGUCUGAUUAGCUAGUUGGUGGGGUAACGGCCUACCAAGGCGACGAUCAGUAGCUGGUCUGAGAGGAUGAUCAGCCACACUGGGACUGAGACACGGCCCAGACUCCUACGGGAGGCAGCAGUGGGGAAUAUUGGACAAUGGGCGCAAGCCUGAUCCAGCCAUGCCGCGUGAGUGAUGAAGGCCUUAGGGUUGUAAAGCUCUUUUGUCCGGGACAAUAAUGACGGUACCGGAAGAAUAAGCCCCGGCUAACUUCGUG